rnacentral:rRNA from 1 species
AGUCAACCUACCCUAUGGACGGGAAUAAUCUCGGGAAACUGAGGAUAAUGCCCGAUAGAACACUAUGCCUGGAACGGUUUGUGUUCCAAAUGAUUUAUCGCCGUAGGAUGGGACUGCGGCCUAUCAGUUUGUUGGUGAGGUAAUGGCCCACCAAGACUAUUACAGGUACGGGCUCUGAGAGGAGUAGCCCGGAGAUGGGUACUGAGACACGGACCCAGGCCCUAUGGGGCGCAGCAGGCGAGAAAACUUUGCAAUGUGCGAAAGCACGACAAGGUUAAUCCGAGUGGUUCCUGCUAAAGGAACCUUUUGACGGUCCUAAAAACACCGUUGAAUAAGGGGUGGGCAAGUUCUGGUGUCAGCCGCCGCGGUAAAACCAGCACCUCAAGUGGUCAGGAUGAUUAUUGGGCCUAAAGCAUCCGUAGCCGGCUCUGUUAGUUUUCGGUUAAAUCUGUACGCUCAACGUACAAGCUGCCGGGAAUACUGCAGAGCUAGGGAGUGGGAGAGGUAGACGGUACUUGGUAGGAAGGGGUAAAAUCCUUUGAUCUAUUGAUGACCACCUGUGGCGAAGGCGGUCUACCAGAACACGUCCGACGGUGAGGGAUGAAAGCUGGGGGAGCAAACCGGAUUAGAUACCCGGGUAGUCCCAGCUGUAAACCAUGCAAACUCAAUGAUGCACUGGCUUGAAGCCAGUGCAGUGUU